GAUAGUGAAACCCGUGAAGCCCGUGACCCGCAACCCACCAGACCUGAGAGAGAGAACCCGGGUGGUUCGUGAACCCAUGAGGACCCGAUCCUCCAUUAACGAACUCCGGCGAACCAGAGACGAAUCGACGGCCUGAGACGCGAAAUCCGGCGAUGGAUGAGCAAUUUCUGGUGAGCCUUGCAACCGGUGAACCGUAGAAGGCCGUGAGACCCGGAGGAAACCCGUGACCUAGUGAUCCGUGACUCGAGACUCGUGAAACCCGACCCUUCAGGAACGAUUUUCCGACGAGUUUUCUGGCGAAAUCAUAUGCGAUUUCUGAUGGGUUUUUAAGGAAAAUUCCCAAGAUGAUGAACUGAGACUGAGACUGCGAAAAAUGGUUAUGUUUGCGCAGGUUCUGAAGAUUAUGGAAUGGAUUAACUACUAGCUUAAGAGAUUUAAAGCUAUGCAGUUAGGAUUAUAGUACUUUGUACUUAUAAUUGUUUAUACUAUUUUGUAUGUAACAUGUUUAGGAAU